rnacentral:misc_RNA from 1 species
AAAAUUAUACUGAAAUCCAAAAAGAUUUCACCUAUUUGUCACCUCUAUUUUCAAAUGCAAUUAAUUGAAUGAGAAUAGCAAUUUAGGAUGUUAUUAUUUUUCGCUUAGCAAAAUCUCAAAGAAUUAUAUAUAUACUUUAGAAUAAAAAAGGGGAAUAAAUAAAGCAAAACCAAACUCGAAAAUGGAAUGAGUAAGGAAACUUACAGUGAUCCUUUAUUUUGCAUGAG